CCUGAAAUAUAAUCUUUUUUGGUGCUGGUGUUAC
rnacentral:sRNA from 1 species